rnacentral:rRNA from 1 species
GACGAACGCUGGCGGCGUGCUUAACACAUGCAAGUCGAACGGAAAGGCCCUGCUUUUGUGGGGUGCUCGAGUGGCGAACGGGUGAGUAACACGUGAGUAACCUGCCCUUGACUUUGGGAUAACUUCAGGAAACUGGGGCUAAUACCGGAUAGGAGCUCCUGCUGCAUGGUGGGGGUUGGAAAGUUUCGGCGGUUGGGGAUGGACUCGCGGCUUAUCAGCUUGUUGGUGGGGUAGUGGCUUACCAAGGCUUUGACGGGUAGCCGGCCUGAGAGGGUGACCGGCCACAGUGGGACUGAGAUACGGACCGAAAUACUACGGGGGGCAGCAGUGGAGAAAAGUGCACAAUGGGCGGACGACUGAUGCAGCAACGCCGCGUGCGGGAUGACGGCCUUCGGGUUCUAAUCCGCUUUCGCCUGUGACGAAGCGUGAGUGACGGUAACGGGUAAAGAAGCACCGGCUCACUACGUG